rnacentral:lncRNA from 1 species
UUAGAAAGACAACCGUCAACUAGUAGUUCAUAAGAUAUAUUUUUAUGCAAUCACACAAAUGAACAACCAUUUUGACUAAUAUCCAAAAACGACAUGAAAGAGUCUUGCAAAUUUUAACGCACAAAAAUUUUCAUGGAGAAGAGCAAGUAAUACGUAGCAGAACAACUACUGAACCUAUCUAGAUAUAGAGAUUUCAUGCAAUUAGUUCAUGCUAGAAACAAAAAACC